rnacentral:rRNA from 1 species
UACGUAGGGGGCAAGCGUUGUCCGGAAUCAUUGGGCGUAAAGAGCUCGUAGGCGGCUCAGUAAGUCAGGUGUGAAAACUCCAGGCUCAACCUGGAGACGCCACUUGAUACUGCUGUGGCUAGAGUCCGGUAGGGGAGCAUGGAAUUCCUGGUGUAGCGGUGAAAUGCGCAGAUAUCAGGAGGAACACCGGUGGCGAAGGCGGGUCUCUGGGCAGUAACUGACGCUGAGGAGCGAAAGCGUGGGGAGCGAACAGG